AAAGACUAAAGCCGAACGUCCUCAGAGCUGUUUAACGCUUCCGAGUUAAGAAGAUCUUUAACGAAAGUAGCUUUACCAAACCUGACCCCACGAAAGCUGUGAAACAAACUGGGAUUAGAUACCCCACUAUGCUCAGCCCUAAAAUUCGAUAGGUCACUACGCCCCCUAUCCGCCCGGGUACUACGAGCAUCAGCUUGAAACCCAAAGGACUUGGCGGUGCUUCACAUCCGUCUAGAGGAGCCUGUCCUGUAACCGAUAACCCCCGUUAAACCUCACCCUCCCUUGUUAAUCCCGCCUAUAUACCGCCGUCGUCAGCCUACCCUGUGAAGGACUAGUAGUGAGCAAGAUUGGUAAAACCCAAAACGUCAGGUCGAGGUGUAGUAAAUGAGAGGGGAAGAGAUGGGCUACAUUUCCUGCAUCAGGAAAUACGAACAAUGAACUGAAAUAAGCAUUAGAAGGUGGAUUUAGCAGUAAGCAGAUAAACAGAGUGUUCUGCUGAAGUUAAUGGCAAUAAAGCACGUACAUAUCGCCCGUCACUCUCCCCGAGCUACCUAAAAAACCACACCUGCAAAGGGGAGGCAAGUCGUAACACGGUAAGCGUACCGGAAGGUGUGCUUGGACAAAUCAGAGUGUAGCUUAG
rnacentral:rRNA from 1 species